UACGUAGGGUGCAAGCGUUGUCCGGAAUUAUUGGGCGUAAAAGAGCUCGUAGGCGGUUUUGUCGCGUCUGCUGUGAAAACCCCGAGGCUCAACCUCGGGCCUGCAGUGGGUACGGGCAGACUAGAGUGCGGUAGGGGAGAUUGGAAUUCCUGGUGUAGCGGUGGAAUGCGUAGAGAUCGGAAAGAACACCAACGCGAAGGCACUCUGCUGGGCCGACACUGACACUGAGAGACGAAAAGCUAGGGGGAGCGAAUGGG
rnacentral:rRNA from 1 species